rnacentral:rRNA from 1 species
UACGGUGAAUACGUUCCCGGACCUUGUACACACCGCCCGUCAAGCCAUGAAAGCUGGGUGUACCUAAAGUCGGUAACCGCAAGGAGCCGCCUAGGGUAAAACUAGUAACUGGGGCU